rnacentral:rRNA from 1 species
AACGUAGGAGACAAACGUUAUCCGGAGUUACUGGGCGUAAAGGGCGUGUAGGUGGUUCUGUAAGUCUGGCGUGAAAUUUCUCGGCUUAACCGAGGCAGGUCGUCGGAUACUGCAGGGCUAGAGGACGGUAGAGGCGUGUGGAAUUCCGGGUGUAGUGGUGAAAUGCGCAGAGUAUCAGGAGGAACACCGGUGGCGAAGGCGGGUCUCUGGGCCGAUACUGACGCUGGAGGAGCGAAAGCGUGGGGAGCGAACAGG